rnacentral:rRNA from 1 species
AAUCAGCUCGCCAACGCCGGGAAGUACGUGUCGGCGAUGGUCGCAGCUGCUGUUAGGUUCAAGUACAGUGCAACGCCGACACCAUUCUGGGUGUGGAUGGUCCUCAUCUCAUCCUCAUGCGCCACCGUCUACCAGCUCUACUGGGACUUUGUCAAGGAUUGGGGCUUUUUCACUCCCAAAUCUAAGAACCUAUGGCUUCGGGAUGAUCUCAUCCUGAAGAACAAGUUCACCUACUACAUUUCUAUGAUGCUAAAUCUAGUGCUUCGGCUGGCAUGGACUGAAAGUGUGAUGAAGAUCCGUGUUAGCAAGAACGAGACUCGCCUACUGGAUUUCUCUCUUGCCUCCUUGGGAAUAAUCCGACGAGGGCACUGGAAUUUCUACAGGCUGGAGAACGAACACUUGAACAAUGUUGGCAAGUUCAGAGCAGUGAAGACUGUCCCAUUGCCAUUUCGUGAACUCGAAACGGAUUGA